rnacentral:rRNA from 1 species
UGGGGAAUAUUGGACAAUGGGCGAAAGCCUGAUCCAGCCAUGCCGCGUGAGUGAUGAAGGCCCUAGGGUUGUAAAGCUCUUUUGUGCGGGAAGAUAAUGACGGUACCGCAAGAAUAAGCCCCGGCUAACUUCGUGCCAGCAGCCGCGGUAAUACGAAGGGGGCUAGCGUUGCUCGGAAUCACUGGGCGUAAAGGGUGCGUAGGCGGGUUUCUAAGUCAGAGGUGAAAGCCUGGAGCUCAACUCCAGAACUGCCUUUGAUACUGGAAGUCUUGAGUUCGGGAGAGGUGAGUGGAACUGCGAGUGUAGAGGUGAAAUUCGUAGAUAUUCGCAAGAACACCAGUGGCGAAGGCGGCUCACUGGCCCGAUACUGACGCUGAGGCGCGAAAGCGUGGGGAGCAAACA